UAAAUUGAGAGUUUGAUCCUGGCUCAGGAUGAACGCUGGCGGCGUGCUUAACACAUGCAAGUCGAGCGAUGAAGUUUCCUUCGGGAAACGGAUUAGCGGCGGACGGGUGAGUAACACGUGGGUAACCUGCCUCAUAGAGUGGAAUAGCCUUCCGAAAGGAAGAUUAAUACCGCAUAACGUUGAAAGAUGGCAUCAUCAUUUAACCAAAGGAGCAAUCCGCUAUGAGAUGGACCCGCGGCGCAUUAGCUAGUUGGUGGG
rnacentral:rRNA from 1 species